rnacentral:sRNA from 24 species
ACGUCACGAUUAAUGAGGCGUUCAGCCUGAGCUAUCAGGCUUCUGAACGGGGAGUACUCCAUCGCCGUGCUCAGCACGUAGCGAACUCCUGCAAAAACUCAACGCAACCUCACCCUGCUACACAUUAUCUGACG